UCCACCCAUACACUGAACCCUGGCCUCUGC
rnacentral:piRNA from 1 species